UACAGAGGUCUCAAGCGUUGUUCGGAUUCAUUGGGCGUAAAGGGUGCGUAGGUGGCGAGGUUAGUCAGGUGUGAAAUCUCGGGGCUCAACCCCGAAACUGCACUUGAUACUGCCUUGCUAGAGUACUGGAGAGGAGAUUGGAAUUUACGGUGUAGCAGUGAAAUGCGUAGAUAUCGUAAGGAAGACCAGUGGCGAAGGCGAAUCUCUGGACAGUUACUGACACUGAGGCACGAAGGCCAGGGGGAGCAAACGGG
rnacentral:rRNA from 1 species